UACGGAGGGUGCAAGCGUUGUCCGGAAUCACUGGGCGUAAAGGGCGCGUAGGCGGCUUGGCAAGUGGAAGGUGAAAUCCCUCGGCUUAACCGAGGAACUGCCCUCCAAACUGCUUCGCUUGAGACCGGGAGAGGUGAGUGGAAUUCCCAGUGUAGCGGUGAAAUGCGUAGAUAUCAAGAGGAACACCAGUGGCGAAGGCGAGUCCCUGGACAACUUCUGACGCUGAGGCACGAAAGCUAGGGGAGCAAACAGG
rnacentral:rRNA from 1 species